rnacentral:tRNA from 1 species
GGGUUUGUAGUUCAAUGGUGGAAUACAGUCACCUAGUAUGCUAUGGCGCCGUGGUGUGGGUUCGAAUACUACCAGAUCCA